CACACAUACACACACACUUUAACACUUGCGCAGUCACAGCGCAACUGUACUUAUAUCAUCAGACUUACUCACAUAUAAAGGGACACAAUUUAGAACAGUAUCUACCUCUAAAACCCGACACUGACCGAUACAACACAGUAAAAAGGGCGGAGGAACCUGCAGGACUCCAGCCAUGAACGCGAGAGGGACGUCUGGCGCCCCCGGAGUGGCCCUUCGCUCGACCUACGGCUGGGUGUCCUGGGUGAGCGAUGAGGACGUCCGCAGGGUGCUCACGUGGGACCUCGUGUUGGGCGCAGUCAGGCGUGCCCUCGAGGGGGUAUACAGGGGCCCGAGUCAUCCCAUGGGCGCCGUGCAGCCCUUGCGUGUCAACGUGCCCGCGGCUGGAC